rnacentral:rRNA from 1 species
UACGGAGGGGACUAGCGUUGUUCGGAAUUACUGGGCGUAAAGCGCACGUAGGCGGAUUUGUAAGUCAGGGGUGAAAUCCCGGGGCUCAAACUCGGAACUGCCUUUGAUACUGCAAAUCUCGAGUCCGGAAGAGGUGAGUGGAAUUCCUAGUGUAGAGGCGAAAUUCGUAGAUAUUAGGAAGAACACCAGUGGCGAAGGCGGCUCACUGGUCCGGUACUGACGCUGAGGUGCCAAAGCGUGGGGUGCACACAGG